UGAUAAAAUAGAAGCGUCGAGUUAUUUUUUAGGACUAACCAGUGAGGGUGAAGACUGAAUAAAACCGAAAGAGACUGAAAGAUGGCAGGCCUUCCUACGUCGUCGUUUAAGGCAAAUACCGGUAGUGCCGCCGCAGAAGACCCCAAAACUCGGUCUCACGAAGCAGAUACGGAGCCACGAGGUUGCAAUUGCAGAGCUCAAUUCUCUUUCACCGUCUCGGGUAUAUUUAUUUAUGUCAAAACAAAAACCAAAAAGUUAUAUUUCAUUUUGUUGCAAUCAAUUGAGUUGAAGAGUACAUGAAUCGUGUUCGUGUAGAAUUUUCUGAAUUGGGUUCUUCGUUUUGAAACAAAAAGUGAAGUUGGUUGUGUUAAUUUGGUUGUUUGGGUUCUUCCCAUAAGCCUAGAUGGUUUAGGUUUACAUGGUUCAGUUGAGAAAUUCAUGUUUUCCUUAGCAUCUAGUCUUUUAGCGCCCGUUUGAUAACUAUUUCAAGAUUAGUUUUAAGUUUUCAUUUUGUGUGCUAGAGUAUAGAGGAAAAUGAGAGUGAGAAUGGGAGUGAGUGUGGGAUUGAGAGAGAGGAUGAGAGGGGAGGAUAGGAGGGAGGCGUAACAAUGUGAAAACAAAAACUAAAAACUGAAAUCUAUUUGAAAUCUUUUUCAGUUUUUAGUUGUUUGUGUGUGCAUUGGAGUAAUAAGAUGAUCAUUUAUUUUAUCUCUAGCGUUGUGUAUGUAAUUGUUGCAAAUUUGAUAUGGAAUACACUUUUGUUAACCACUUUGCCGUGCCUAUCAUCAAUGCUAACCACAAAUUUUGUUUUACACAUCUCAAAAUGAUUCUGUUCAUGUCAAAUUCUAGGUAGAUAGUAAUAGUCAUUAAACUAAUAGUAAUUUUCAUUAACGGCAUUUGGCCUACACUUUCGACUUGUAACUCUAAAUUCUAGAAAGCCAGCAAGCUCAAAUUGUUUUCAUUUCAUCAUUUCAAUGUUCCGGGUAUUAGUUUUCUUCUGGGGUCUUUUUAUUUACAAGUAGAAGCCCAAUUGCCCUUCUCAUCAGCUUGUUUGGUUGGAGUGCUUUGUUAGUUUACACUGAUGUAAAUACAGCUCUUUCUUGAUCACAGGCUGUCUAUCAGAAGAAUGGGAACUUGUUUUUCCGUACAACAAUCCAGAAAGCAACGGCAUCUGAACAAAGUAACAAGUUUUGCAUCGAAUCAGUGGUAUUUGUCUCGGGGUUUAAAUAGCUGAAUUGAUGCAAUUUUCCUUGUUCACUGUUUAUAUUGUGCAGAACAAAUUGAUUUGGCUAAAGCAAGCCUAGGAAAGCUGAAUUCUUCUUGAUAUGACUUGGCUUACGAUGGUGGUAGUCCUGCAGCCUUUAAAGGUAAAAACCCUUGUAUUAAUAGGCAUAUACAUCCACUAGAGAUAAGUCUUAUCCAAGUGAUGUAUUUCAAUGGCAAGAUAUGUGAUACUUUUACCAUCAUUAUAUUUCAGCUAGCACUACGCUUGAAUGCUUACUGUGAUCCUGCCAACAAAGCAGACUUUCUUUUCUGUUACCUUUCAUUGACUUCUGCGUCUGUUUGCUAUAUGCUUGUCGAUGCUUUUUUUUUCCUUUUCUCUUAUCCAUUACUUACAUCCAAUUACCUUUCACUGACUAAGGGAUCUAAGGAGUUAUAUUGGAGAAAAUGCUAAAUUAUUUGUCAUUGUUUGGUGUUACAAAGUAGUCUUUAUCUUUUUAAUAAAGCAGCAUUAACUCUCAACUCUUGUCUUUUUUAUUUAUUUAUUUAUUUUUAUAGAUUUAUUAAAAGCACAAUAAAGUAUACCCUUUGUAGUGAAGACUACAAAACAACAAAGCUGAUAAUACUCUACCUUAUAACUAAUGUAAAUCAAUACACAUAUUAGACUGUGAGAAAACAGCUGCAUUAAUAGAAGAAAACUGAAUGUUCCAAAACUCAUAAGACACAGAAACCCAAAGUGAACCAAAUUUUGACGUUUCCCCCUAAACCUUCAUCCCUCCCUGGAAUUACCCCACUCAGUUUGACUUCCCUAAACAACCUCAACAACUGUGAUACUUUAGAGUAAUAAAUAAAUAAUUGACCUACACUUUCACCCUCGUUACAUAUUAUGGAGCAAGAUAUCUUAAGAAUCAACUUAGUCAAAUCCCAUACUACGUGUAAAUCCCAUACUACGUGUAUCUGAGAAGGGAAUGAUCCAUUAAGCUUUGGAUCAGAUGACACACAUAGCCUUACUAUGAGCAACUAUCCAAGUAAGAAUUGUUACUUUAGGAGAUGCCUUAGCCUUCAAAGUCACAGAAAAAAGUUGGAAAAUUGGAAGAGAUGGAUAGCCAGGUAGGACUACAAAAUUUGGUUUACAUGAAACAAACCCCAGAAUAGUCAAAAGUCCACCUCCAAAACAACCAGGACCUAGAAGGAGAUUAUUGAAGAAUCUCUAACAAAGACAGAAGUGACCUCCACAAUUUCAGGGUCAGUUAAGUUUCUUUGGAAACCCACAUAUCUAUCAACUCAAAGAAUGAAAAGAAUUGACUUAAAAUCUAGCAAUGGGAACAUUAUGAAAAGUGGACACAAAGGAAAUGAGCAAAACAAAGGCAAUUUUUUCCAACCCAACACUCAUCCAAAAUCUAAUCCUUUCUCCACUUCUCCACUACCCACUACAAGCUCACAGCAAGGAUAAAAUUUCCAUGACUUUGGAAAUGUCUUUCCAAGGACAGCAACUCAAACCCCUCACUAGAAUUCCAUCCAUUUUCAUGUAACCCAUGCUUCCUAUGACAGCUAAUGGAAAGCUGUAUAACAACUUCCCAAGUAAGGCCUUAUGGGGAAGACAUACUGGUCAACUACCAACCAAAGUAUAUCUAAGUUCUUCAAACUACUUGGUUAUUCUCAUCUUCUCUAUGGUUCUUGCUUUCCAAAUUAAGUAAACAUUAUCCUAAAGUAGCCAUUUUGAAUAUAGCUGAUAUAACUUGAAAUCUAUUCAUGAGUAACUGUUUUCAUUUGUUCGAGUCCAUAUUAAAGCAGCGUUUUAUUACAUAAAACUUGAAAGAAUGCAUGAGGGUGUUGUACAUACCAAUAAGAAAUAAAUAAAAUUGCCGGAUACCAUAGUGAAUAUAUAUAAAUAAAUAAAAAAGGGAAAUUUCAGUUUUUCUUUGCAUCUUCAGGCUUUUGGGCGUCUGAAAUGAUCAAAAUAUAUGGGUGAAUCUUCAGGCUAUUUGUGAUAAGAGUGAAGAGAAUAAACUCCUUUGAGCUUUACACAUGAGAUUUACCAUGAAGGUUUUUGUCAGAUUGGCCUUUUUGGCAUGGACAGCCUGUUUAAGACUUUUUUGGUAAUGUUUUUGGGACAAUUAUUGAUAAUGGAUGAUUUGAUACUUUAAUUGGUGUUGUGAAACAGGAUUCAGUGUGUGAACCGCUUAUCGUUGCAGAUUCCUGUUGGUUGGGAGGUCGUGGGGUUUUUGUCUCAUCCAUUUUCUUAUUUCUAACAUAGGCUUCUACCGUGGACAUAAUUUUGUGAACAAUACAUGUAGAGACUUUUAGACAGAAGCGUUUAUGUUUCAGAAUUUUGUACAAAUACCAUUUGAAGUAUAGGGGUUAUGAGGUUAUUAAUAUAGUCUCUACCUCCUGCCUUCCUUGGUCGUCUCCCUAAGCAUUCCGUACUCUCCCUGAUCGCCCCAACUAUCCUCGAUCCUCGUCUCUGAGCCACACCCCAACCACAUCCGCCCAAAUCCACACCCAAACGAAUAUGUUGACUAUGCUUUUGAUGCCAAAUUAGGUACUCAUUUUUGGGUUUUGAAAC
rnacentral:lncRNA from 1 species